AGCUGAAGUUUUGCCACACAAUGAUGCGUGCAUGAUAGCAUGUUUGGUUGAUCCCUGUAUGUUUGCCAAAUGUGAAUUACAUCCUGAUGCCAAAUGUAUGUCCAGUUGUUGUGUCCCAUACUUCUUUCUCCACGAUGGCACGAAACUCGAAUACACAUCCUGUAAAUAGAAGUUGUGUGUGAUAUGCUACCGCCAAG